AACGCACAUUGCGCCCCAUGGUAUUCCGUGGGGCAUGCCUGUCUGAGCGUCAGCAACACCACUCAAGCAUAGCUUUAUUGCCUUGCUUGGACUAUAUCAGAGAAGCAGUUUGUUUACUAACCGCCCUCUGGAAAUUGAUAGAUGGUCAGGUUGUCACACUAUGCCAAACGUCAUAUGAUUUACAUCGUUCGUUUGCAAAUUGGUUGAUAUCUUGAUAGUCAUUGAACCCACAGUGUAUGCUGUUUUUUUCUGACUUGACCUCAGAUCAGGUAGGGAUACCCGCUGAACUUAA
rnacentral:misc_RNA from 1 species